GAUGAAGAACGCAGCGAAAUGCGACAAGUAAUGUGAAUUGCAGAAUUCAGUGAAUCAUCGAAUCUUUGAACGCACAUUGCGCCCCCUGGUAUUCCGGGGGGCAUGCCUGUUCGAGCGUCAUUACAACCCUCAAGCUCUGCUUGGUAUUGGGCCCCGCCAGUUCUGGCGGGCCCUAAAGUCAGUGGCGGUGCCUUCCGGCUCCGAGCGUAGUAAUUCUUCUCGCUCUGGAGACCCGGUUGUGUGCUUGCCAACAACCCCCAAUUUUUUAAGGUUGACCUCGGAUCAGGUAGGGAUACCCGCUGAACUUAAGCAUAUCAAUAAGCGGAGGA
rnacentral:misc_RNA from 1 species